UGCCGUUUGUAUAAAUGUUUUGAUCGGUUCAACGGUUUUGCUGUGUUGGUAAGACAAAUUUCUAAUACAUAAAACAUUUCAAACUGUAUCAUUGAAAAUCAUCGUGGCUUGAAAAUGUUUCGCUUGACAUUUCUUCUGAUGAUGCCCGUGUUCAAUUUACAAGUUAACGAAGUCAGUAGUUGUCCCUCAGGCUGGAUGAAGCUACAGUCAUCUUGCUAUAUCUUCAGUACAACGCAAAAAACAUGGG